rnacentral:rRNA from 1 species
CCUACGGGAGGCAGCAGUGAGGAAUAUUGGUCAAUGGACGAGAGUCUGAACCAGCCAAGUAGCGUGAAGGAUGACUGCCCUAUGGGUUGUAAACUUCUUUUAUAAAGGAAUAAAACGAGGCACGUGUGCCUUUUUGCAUGUACUUUAUGAAUAAGGAUAGGCUAACUCCGUGCCAUCAGCCGCGGUAAUACGGAGGAUCCGAGCGUUAUCCGGAUUUAUUGGGUUUAAAGGGAGCGUAGAUGGGUUGGUAAGUCAGUUGUGAAAGUUUGCGGCUCAACCGUAAAAUUGCAAUUGUUACUGGCAGUCUUGAGUACAGUUGAGGUAAGCGGAAUUCGUGGUGUAGCGGUGAAAUGCUUAGAUAUCACGAAGAACCCCGAUUGCGAAGGCAGCUUACUAAACUGUGACUGACAUUGAUGCUCGAAAGUGUGGGUAUCAAACAGGAUUAGAUACCCUAGUAGUC